AAGACCGGGGCUUAACCCCGGGUCUGCAUUCGAUACGGGCAUAGCUAGAGUGUGGUAGGGGAGAUCGGAAUUCCUGGUGUAGCGGUGAAAUGCGCAGAUAUCAGGAGGAACACCGGUGGCGAAGGCGGAUCUCUGGGCCAUUACUGACGCUGAGGAGCGAAAGCGUGGGGAGCGAACAGGAUUAGAUACCCUGGUAGUCCACGCCGUAAACGGUGGGAACUAGGUGUUGGCGACAUUCCACGUCGUCGGUGCCGCAGCUAACGCAUUAAGUUCCCCGCCUGG
rnacentral:rRNA from 1 species